UACGUAGGUGACAAGCGUUGUCCGGAUUUACUGGGCGUAAAGAGCGCGCAGGCGGUCGUUCAAGUCGAGUGUGAAAGCCCCCGGCUCAACUGGGGAGGGUCACUCGAUACUGAUCGACUUGAAGGCAGGAGAGGGAAGCGGAAUUCCCGUGUAGUGGUGAAAUGCGUAGAUAUCGGGAGGAACACCAGUGGCGAAGGCGGCUUCCUGGCCUGCUCUUGACGCUGAGGCGCGAAAGCUAGGGUAGCAAACGGG
rnacentral:rRNA from 1 species